rnacentral:rRNA from 1 species
UACGUAGGGGGCAAGCGUUAUCCGGAUUUACUGGGUGUAAAGGGAGCGUAGGCGGUUCAGCAAGUCAGAAGUGAAAGCCCGGGGCUCGACUCCGGGACUGCUUUUGAAACUGUUGAACUAGAUUGCAGGAGAGGUAAGUGGAAUUCCUAGUGUAGCGGUGAAAUGCGUAGAUAUUAGGAGGAACACCAGUGGCGAAGGCGGCUUACUGGACUGUAAAUGACGCUGAGGCUCGAAAGCGUGGGGAGCAAACAGG